AGAGUGCAGCCAACUAUUUCAAUUGCCUAUAUAUAUAUAUAUAUAUAGGCAAUUGAAAUAGUUGGCUGCACACU